AUAGUUUUAGUACUGAAUGAACGGAAGGUGGAAAUCGAUGUGUGGAAUUAAGAAAAUGAACGAUUGAGCUUGGAAAUUUUUUGUACUAUACACAGAGUUGUAUAACUGUAAGACUUUAAUUUCUAAUGCGAAACACUUCGUCGUUAAUCACUAAUAAUAAUAAAGAUCUGCCUUGGACCUGGAUUCACUGAUUGACAAUAAACCACAUUUUAUUGUAGGAAAGAAAGCUCUUGAUGCCCCAAAAUAGAAGGCUGUGUUGGUAAAUUGGGUAAUAGCUUAGCCUUUUCCUUCCGUUGUACUUGAUUCAUACUGUACAAACCUCAUGUGGUUGAAGAGUGCCAUUUGCAACCUGGAUUUGUGUGAUGUUGUUGUAUUUUUCACAAUAAAUAACCAAGUUCUCCUUUGUU